AUGACUUUGAUCUGCGUCCUCAUCUGGACUCUCCUCUGCUGCUGCUUCACAGAGUCCAGAGGCCAGGUCACAGUGACUCAGCCUGGAGCAGUGAGCUCUGCUCUGGGAGGCUCCGUCUCCAUCAAAUGUAGGACCAGUCAGGAUGUAUAUAGCUCUGACCGUUUAGCCUGGUACCAACAGAGAGAUGGAGAAACUCCUAAACUCCUCAUUUACUCUGCUAGCACUCGAGCAUCAGGGAUUCCAGGUCGUUUUACAGGUAGUGGAUCAAACUCUGACUUCACUCUGACCAUCAGUGGAGUCCAGACUGAAGAUGCAGCAGUUUACUACUGUCAGAGUUAUCAUUAUCAACAGUCAGGAUUGGGAGUCAGUCUGGAGUCUGAAGUCCAGGCUGAAGAGUUUAUUACUGUCACCAGGGUGGUCACAGCUUCCCAUUCAUACAGUGAUACAACGUCGUACAAAAACUUCCCUCAGCUGGAGAGGAACUGA